GUCCAAAUGUAUAUAUAAAAAAGAAGAUGUGGUAUGAUUGCCAAUGAGAUAACUUUCCACAGGAGACCAAAUGACAUAGAAAUUAACAGCUAUAGGUCACUGUACAGCCUUCAAUAAUGAGUAACAAUAGCCUUGUGUAGAAAAAUUUUAAUAUCAUCCGCAAGUACUACUAUAAUGUUAAAUGUAUAAUAUUAUGAAAAUAACAGUUCAUUUUAUGGAAGAAAUACUUACUUUUUUCUAAAGCUUUCAAAAUGAGAACAUUUAAUAUUGUCAAAUGCUAUAAAAUCUGUUGCAAUCUUUUAAUAAGUUUUAAGAUAUUGUCAUAAGAUCAGACACAAUACAUCCUUUUCAUUAUAUAAUUCUUUUAACA
rnacentral:lncRNA from 1 species